GGUUACAAAUGCAAAGACGGUGAUAAACGCUUUCCCCUUUUCUCCUUCCUCCCUCCCGGAAUAGCUCUUAAAAAUUAGAGUUUAAACAUUGCCUCAGUCUGAAGAACGGAUUUAGUUCUCUGCAACUCACCCAAAAUCAGGUUGUUCCUCAGCAGCUUUGCUCUGCUGAGCUGUAGCCAUUAACCAUGGUGGUGCCUCAAGAAGCCCUGCCCUGGUGGCCGUGGGAGUACCCACUGGAAGCCUUGUGUGAGUCUUCAAGCCUUGGCUCAGGCUGGGACAGAAAAGGCAUCAGAAGCUUUUUUCCUGGGAAAAAGCCCUCAGCGAUGACCAAGCCUUGGGCUGGUGCAGCAGAAGAGCAGAGGUGGAUUCACGGACACAUACAUCUGCACAUAUGAACAUGCACAUCCCAGAGCCCCCAGAGAGCACCAAGAGGUGUCACUGUGCUUCAGUCUUCCCUUGAAAACGUGUGACUAGCUGAACAGCCGGGGAGGAAUCCUGUGAUGGGAGGUGGAAUGCAGCCUCUCAGGUCUUCCACUUGCUCGCUUUUACCCACACUGAAACUUGUGCUUCAGGAGUCGACAGAUAUCUCUGUGAUGUGUCAUUCCCUCUGGGCUGUGCAGGGAUGCUGCAAUCCCAGAACAACACGGGGAUGAAAAGCCUUCAGAAGAACAGGCGGGUGCUGGUGAUGGAUGAUCAUCGAAGGCAUCUGAAGGCUACAACAGCUCUUCUGUGGCUUUCUGGGUAGGAAGACUUCAGUGCUCCCUGUGGAGCCCACACUUCCCAAAGAUCAUGAUGCUGCUCAAAGCAAUAGGUAAGUGCUGAUGCUC